UAANCGNNNGNAAAGAAACUANCAGGAUUCCCCUAGUAACUGCGAGUGAAGCGGGAAAAAGCUCAAAUUUGGANUCUGGUGGUCUUNNNCCAUCCGAAGUUGUAAUUUAGAGAAGCGUCUUCCGCGCUGGCCCGUGCACAAGUCUCCUGGGAAUGGAGCGUCAUAGAGGGUGAGAAUCCCGUCUUUGGCAUGGAAUCCCAGGGCUUCUGUGAUGCGCUCUCGACGAGUCGAGUUGUUUGGGAAUGCAGCUCAAAAUGGGUGGUGAACUCCAUCUAAAGCUAAAUAUUGGCGAGAGACCGAUAGCGAACAAGUACCGUGAGGGAAAGAUGAAAAGCACUUUGGAAAGAGAGUGAAACAGUACGUGAAAUUGUUGAAAGGGAAACGCUUGAAGUCAGUCGCGUCGACCGAGACUCAGCCUUGCCUCGGCUUGGUGUACUUCUCGGCUUGACGGGUCAGCAUCGAUUUCAAUCCUCGGAUAAUGGCAAGGGAAAGGUAGCACCUUUUUAGGUGUGUUAUAGUCCUCUGUCGCAUGCGUGGGUCGGGAUCGAGGAACUCAGCACGCACCUCAAGGUGUCGGA
rnacentral:rRNA from 1 species